AUACGGAGGAUCCGAGCGUUAUCCGGAUUUAUUGGGUUUAAAGGGUGCGUAGGCGGACGAUUAAGUCAGCUGUGAAAUGCCCGCGCUUAACGCGGGAAGUGCAGUUGAUACUGGUUGUCUGGAGUGCCGUUGCCGUGGGGGGAAUGUGUAGUGUAGCGGUGAAAUGCAUAGAUAUUACACAGAACGCCGAUUGUGAAGACACCUCACGAAGCGGUAACUGACGCUGAGGCACGAAAGCGUGGGGAUCGAACAGGAUUAGAUACCCUGGUAGUCCACGCAGUAAACGAUGAUGACUAACCGUCGGUCAAGACUGAUCGGUGGCCAAGCGAAAGCGAUAAGUCAUCCACCUGGGGAGUACGACCGCAAGGUUGAAACUCAAAGGAAUUGACGGGG
rnacentral:rRNA from 1 species